AUUCCAGCUCCACUAGCGUAUAUUAAAGUUGUUGCAGUUAAAAAGCUCGUAGUUGAACUUCUGAUUGUUGCUAGAGUCGGUAUUUAUAUCGCUUUAGCGGCAGUCAUCCGUCUGCAAACUUUUACAUCCUUAACUGGUUUGUCUAAGGGAGCAGGCAUUUUACUUUGAAAAAUUAGAGUGUUUAAGGCAGGCGCAAGCCUGAAUACAUUAGCAUGGAAUAAUGGAAUAGGACGCUUGUCCAUUUGAUUGGUUAUUGGACUCGCGUAAUGAUUAAUAGGGACAGUUGGGGGCAUUAGUAUUUAAUUGUCAGAGGUGAAAUUCUUGGAUUUAUUAAAGACUAACUUAUGCGAAAGCAUUUGUCAAGGAUGUUUUUUCAUUAAUCAAGAACGAAAAGUUAGGGGAUCAAAGACGAUCAGAUACCGUCCUAGUCUUAACUAUAAACUAUACCGACUCGGUUUGGUAGGGUUCAAUUAGCUCUAUCAGCGCCGUAUGAGAAAUCAAAGUCUUUGGGUUCGUGGGGGA
rnacentral:rRNA from 1 species